UGAGCAUCUUUUUCCUCUUUUCUUUCCCCUUUGGAGUCUCUAGAGGAAGAAAGAGAGCCUAGAGCUUUCUCAGUUUAAACACUGGUGGGGGAAGUCAGCGACUCAAAGUUAGUAUUGCACCUGUUCCUAAAGCAGAGGUUGUGGGGGCAGCUCACGGGGCAGAAAUGGCAGGUCGGGAGGUAGUGGUGGCAGUGGGCACACAGGAGGAGGUGUAGGUCUGAGGGGAAAAUGCAGGGGAAGAAGAGACGAGCUGAAGGACCAUCUCCCAGCUUCUGUGGUGGCCCCACCUUCCUCUGUGCUCAGCCAGAGGCUGAAAUGAGCCUGUUAUGGUGACGUCACUGCCCGCUUGAGUCCCUCCCAUGGGCAGUCUGGGUCCUUCCAUGCUCUUUGAGGCCCUCUUUACGUCAUCCCCCUGCCUCAGAACCUGUGUUCAUUGGUGUCUCCAUCUUCCUUUCAGAUGACCCCCUCCAUCCCAGGAAUGUGCUCAAAUGUCACCUUCAGCUGUUAAAAAUCCAUUCCCAAGGGGAGAAGAAAGCUAUGUCUGCCCCUUCUCCUGAGGUCCCAAUGAUUUGACUCCACCAAAGUUCACUCUGGGAACCAAUGAAUUUAUUGGGAUUACUUCCAGAGCAUAGCUUCACAGAUGGAGUCCCCUGUAACAGGACCUUAGACCAUAGCACAACUGACUCCAUGAUGGAAGAACCAUUCAGGCUGUGAAACUCAGUCUCAAGGACAAGCUGAGGUACAAUUCCAUUGAGGUUCACUUUGGGGAAGCAGUAAGUUUAUAGUGUUUCCUUACAGAGCAGCGGAGAUCAUGGGUGUGAGCAGGAGUGGCCUUAAAGCAGCCGCACUGGAAAGUCUGCACCCAGAACGGAUAACAACUCCCUCCUGGUGCAAGACCCGGAUAAAUCCAGGCCCCUCUAGCAGAAAGAAUAGAGCCAAAAAUCUAGCAGGAAGAGUAGAGCCAAAAAUCUAGCAGGGAGAGAAGAACAAA